rnacentral:rRNA from 1 species
UACAGAGGGUGCGAGCGUUAAUCGGAAUUACUGGGCGUAAAGCGUGCGUAGACGGUUAUUUAAGUCGGAUGUGAAAUCCCCGGGCUCAACCUGGGAAUGGCAUUUGUGGCUGUCCGGCUAGAGUGUGUCAGAGGGGGGUAGAAUUCCACGUGUAGCAGUGAAAUGCGUAGAGAUGUGGAGGAAUACCGAUGGCGAAGGCAGCCCCCUGGGAUAACACUGACGCUCAUGCACGAAAGCGUGGGGAGCAAACAGG